UUUUUUAAAUUGCUGUGGUAUUUUGACUAUACAAAGGUAUUGAAAUAAGAUUUUAAUUGAAUGCUAAGAGAAUGGAAUUUCAGAAAAAAACUUUUUUCAAGUUAAAAAUUGAAAUUUUUUUAAUUUGUGCAGAAACAAUUAUUAAUAUUAAGGACAAGAAGACCCUAUGAAUUUAUAAAUUUUAUUUAAUAUGUAACUACUAUUGAAAAAAUUUUAGCUGGGGCGGCGGAAAAAUAUUUAAAACUUUUUUAAAAUAAAAUGACCCAUUAUUAAUGAUUAUAUGUUAAAUACUCUAGGGAAACAGCGUAAA
rnacentral:rRNA from 1 species